CAGCUCUCCUCGACAAAUCACGGGGUUGAAUCAUCAUGUGCUUCUGUUUAAUCCCUGAAGUUGUAGCUUAAGUCUGCCGCACAAUGCAAGGCACCGACAAAGGGCUGUUGUAUGAAAGAGACUGAUUAUGUCGGUAGAAGCAGACUUAAAGUUUUCUUUUUAGUUCUUCGUUUAACCUCCCCCCCGCUCUGCUCGUUCAGACUAAUGUAGGGGUAAAAUGUAGAGGUCAAAUAAUAACAUCAACUUCAAAUGGAGUAAAACAGUCACAAAAGUGAAGCCUAACUUCAGUGCACGCAUUAAAAACACAAAUAAGUCACAAGAAUCUGCAAUGUUUACGGUGUCCUUCAAAUUCUGAAUUUUCUCCAGGCGGCCGCACUUUGACUGGGCCAUAACACUUAAUCUAAACAGUUUGGUUGUAUUCGUGGCUGAAUGUUUAGUGCCAACCUGCUGAAAGGUAAACACGGCUCAGACCAAAUCUCAAGUCUUUAGUUCCUCCCCUCCCUUUUAAAGAAAGGCAGCUGCCCAGCAUGAUGCUGCCACCACCAUGUUUCACUGGCCAAGUGCAAGGCUGCUUGGUAUUUCCCUUAACCCUCCCAGAGCCGAUCAUCCUCCAGUUCCAGAAAACCAAAAACUGAGAGAGCCACUCCACGCAGGUCCUGUUGAUCACAACCGAAUGGAUGUCCACUUUUCUCCACUUGAAGUAAAUAACCAGCUCCUUUGUUUAGAAGCAGAGCGCUUCUUCUGCAUGCAGCACUCAGAAAGCCGUUUGGUAGUUUUUUUGUUUUGUCCCUGCAGCAUAAACCCAGCAUUCGGGUCAAAGAAAUAACCCAGCAGUUUUUAGAGUGUGCUGGAAAAUUAAUCUGCCACUCCUGUUGGCUUCAGUGUCUACAUGCCCAAGCUUGGGCUUAUCUUUUUUUUCUUCUGUUUGUGUGGUUUCCAUUUUUAAAAAGAAAAGCAAAACCUGUUAAAUGAAAAUAUCACAAAAGAUUUGGGGUGACAGACAAGCUGUAAAUGUAGAAAGUGUUGUUCUGCUGUCUGAAACUUAUUGUCUGUACGCUUUUCUCCACAUACAGAAAGCCAGUUUGUUUUGAAACAUUAAUAUUCGUGAUGUAAAAAGUUUGAAAUAAGAUGGCACUCCCUUCAUCACAGUAAUAAAAUAAGGGACCCUUA